rnacentral:rRNA from 1 species
GAUGAACGCUGGCGGCGUGCCUAAUACAUGCAAGUCGAGCGAACAGAUGAGGAGCUUGCUCCUCUGACGUUAGCGGCGGACGGGUGAGUAACACGUGGAUAACCUACCUAUAAGACUGGGAUAACUUCGGGAAACCGGAGCUAAUACCGGAUAAUAUAUUGAACCGCAUGGUUCAAUAGUGAAAGACGGUUUUGCUGUCACUUAUAGAUGGAUCCGCGCCGCAUUAGCUAGUUGGUAAGGUAACGGCUUACCAAGGCAACGAUGCGUAGCCGACCUGAGAGGGUGAUCGGCCACACUGGAACUGAGACACGGUCCAGACUCCUGCGGGAGGCAGCAGUAGGGAAUCUUCCGCAAUGGGCGAAAGCCUGACGGAGCAACGCCGCGUGAGUGAUGAAGGUCUUCGGAUCGUAAAGCUCUGUUAUUAGGGAAGAACAAAUGUGUAAGUAACUAUGCACGUCUUGACGGUACCUAAUCAGAAAGCCACGGCUAACUACGUG